GCUGACGGUGAGGAAUGAGAGAAGAUAUUAGAGUUUUAAGUAUUUUCGGUGGUGGUGGUGGUGAUUGUUACGCAACUUUCCGAUGAUGUCUGCAAGAUACAGCUUCGAAUUAAGUAGCUGACUCCCAUCGCCAUUCAGGAGCCACUCAACCCAGCAGUUUCUCCUCUUUUCUUCCCCUCUUUUGUGCUUUUACCAACCCAGAUCCAUCAGAAAACGUUUUCUCUGGCUCAUCUACUCAAAGCUGCAUCUAUCUGGAAUUUUUCUUUUCGUGAUUUCGUCUUGCCGAUGUUUCAAUCAAAGUGAACACGAAUGCUAACGAUCUCAGCAGUCUGAGAGGGAUCCACAAAGGUCAGGGGCACCGCCCCUUCUCCGCUGACUUAC